UAAAGUAUAAUGGAGAUAGAGAAAGCUUCUGACAUAGGCAUCAGAAGCAGGCAGAAAGAGUACCUGCUUGCUAGUGUUAGCAAUGGAGUUAUAUACUCUCCAAUGAAUCCAAAGAAUGUCUGGAGGUUGUAAAGACCUCACCAGACCUACUCCCAUAAUGUACAUUUUAAGAUAACAGGAUUAGCCAGAAGGUUUAAUCCAGAGACUGUCCUUAGGCAGGAUACAUAAUCCUAAAGAAUGUAGAGGGAAAAAAAAAAAAAAGUUUGUCCUUUCUUCCUCCUUGAGAAUUCCAGACCCCUCUCUCCUUGGGGACCCCUAGACUUCUUAUCAACUUGCCUAGGAAAUGACUCUCAGUUGGAUGGCAUCACUGACUUGAUGGACAUGAGUUUGAGCAAACUCUGGGAGAUGGUGAUGGACAGUGAAGCCUGGCACACUGCAGUCCAUGGGCUCGCAAAGACUGAGCAACCGAACUGAACUGAACUGGUCCCCUGGAGUGAGUGACUGGGCAAAACAGGAUCCCCACCAGCUGCUGCUCCCUCCCAGGGCAUUAAAGUCAGAGCCACAGUGGUGGGCCUUCCAUCGAGGGGUGAGAAGAUAAUAAGACAAUAACAGUGGAGUCUAUAGAACUGCACUGCCCAAGGUCACAGUGCCCAAGGUCAUGGUGCUUGGAAACUGCAGGACUAGGACCAGCCCUGCCAGAGAGUUGAAGAUUGCAUGCUCCAUCCUUCCCUGUGAGGCCUGUGUUUCUGCACUGGCUCCCGACGCAGCUACCAUGUGGGAUCUUACCUCCCAAGCUGGGAUUCAACCUGUAUCCCCUGCAUUGGAAGGCGAAGUCUUAACCACUGAGUCACCUUGAUUGAUUGACUGGGAAUUCACCACUGGAAGUCACCGUGAUUGACUGAUUCAAG
ensembl:lncRNA